UUCCAUGGCGGGCGGUGCGUGGGGAUGUGCGCAAGCACAUCCGCCCGAACUAAGUCAGCCGGGUUUUUGCAGCCACGUAUCGCCCGCCGCCUUU
rnacentral:antisense_RNA from 1 species